GAUUGUUUCAUACUUCCUAAAGCGACCGGGAGUUACCAUUAUGGUCUUGUCCAAUAGGCAGCCUAAAAAGGACCAGCCUACACCCAAAAGGUGAAAAGAAGCAAUGUGCCUAAGGACAAGAUAUGAAGGUGCCCCUUCAGUGAGGUGUCAGUCAGCUAAGCUGGCCUUGGCGCUUUUGCAGCUAGACCACGUUGUGGCUUCUUGUCUACUCCUGAUGUCUUCUUCCUGCCGUGAUUGCUCCUGGGCUGGUUGGUCGACCACUUGA
rnacentral:lncRNA from 1 species